rnacentral:tRNA from 1 species
GGCGCGGUGGCCUAAUGGUAAGGCGUUGCUUUCCGGUGGCAAAGAUUGUGGGUUCGAGUCCCAUCCGCGUCG